rnacentral:rRNA from 1 species
AUUGAAGCAUUUAUUAAAUUAAAAUACGGGGGUAUUGGUACUUAAUUUAAACAGGCGGAAGUUUUAUUAUUGUAAAAGAAAAAAUUUAUUUAAUUAUAGUUAAUUAGUAUUGUAAAAGAAAUUUUAUGAAUAUUUUAAAGAAAAAUUAAUUUUUUGUACCUUGUGUAUCAGGGUUUAUUAAUUAUAUGAUUUUAGAUUAGGAUUAAAUUUUCUCGAAUUCAAAAGAGCUAAAAUUUUAUAAAUUUUAUUGUAGAAUAAAUAUUUUAAAUAAAAUUUUUGAAAUGAAACGUUACCGUUUUUGAAUAUAUCUAGUUUUUUAAGAAAAAAGUUUAAUUUGUUGAUUAUUUAUUAAAAGCUUUUAUUUUUAGGAUUUUGAUUUUAAUUGGUUAUGUUUUAGGGGAUAAGCUUUAAAACAAAUUAUUAUAAAUUUUUAAUUUUAUUCACUAUUUGUAGGAUUAAAAAUUUUUAUCAUUAGAAAAAUGUUAUAAUUUAUGGGGGAGUCAAUAUUAUUUAUAAAAAUUUUAAUUUUUAUAUUGAAAUAUAGAUUUAAAUUAUAAAAAUUUAGUAAUAAUGAUGAAAUUAGUAUAAUGUUUUUUAAAUUUAAUUUUUAUUAUUUAGGUUUUUAAAAGGAACUCGGCAAAUAUUUUCUCACCUGUUUAUUAAAAACAUGGCCUUUUGUUUAUAUUUAAGGUCUAGCCUGCCCAAUGAAUUAAUUUUUAAAUGGCCGCGGUAUCUUGACCGUGCAAAGGUAGCAUAAUCAUUAGUUUUUUAAUUGAAAGCUGGAAUGAAUGGCUGAAUGAGGAAAAGACUGUCUCUUAAAAAUUUUAUUAGAAUUUUAUUUUUAAGUAAAAAAGCUUAAAUAUUUCUUAAAGACGAGAAGACCCUUUAGAAUUUUAUAUAAAGUUAAAUUUUAAAGCUUAGGGAUUAACAUUUUAUGUUUUAAUUUUGUAUUUGGUUGGGGUGACUAAAAAAUUUAUUAAACUUUUUUUCUAUAAAAACAUUGAUUUAUGAGUAUUUGAUCCAUUAUUUAUGAUUACAAGAUUAAAUUACCUAAGGGAUAACAGCGUUAUUUUUUUUGAGAGUUCUUAUCGAAAAAAAAGAUUGCGACCUCGAUGUUGGAUUAAAAUUAAAUUAAGGUGCAGAAGCUUUAACUUUAGGUCUGUUCGACCUUUAAAAUUUUACAUGAUCUGAGUUUAAACCGGUGUGAGCCAGGUUGGUUUCUAUCUUAAGUCAUUUUAAAUUUUUUAGUACGAAAGGACCGAGUAUUUUUUUUAUAAUUUUCCACUAGACUGCCAAUA